CCAGGGUCUGUCCCCAACACAGCGGCGGCCAGGAUGCCCGUGCUCCUCCACCACUCCCUCCAGAGGCUACCUGGCCUGGGCUGCUGCAGAGCCGGGGGAAACUGCCGACACACAGAGGACACACAAGGCUGUGCAGUGUUGUUUUGAGCCUUCAGUGGCAGCAGGGACAAGGGCUGAGGCUUGGUGCUGACAAAGGCACAGCCCUGAUGAGCAGCUCUGAGAGGGCACCUGGAAGGCCACUCCAGGGAGGAGAAGGUGCGCACCUCCCUCUCUCAGUGGGGAAUGCAGCCAAGCUCCAGCCACCCAACAGGCCAGGAAACCCUCACUGCUGACCGUGAGUCAAGGAGACCCCAGGCUGCUGCUACCCUCUCCUCAGGUGCCCAGAAAAGGCAAACUAAGGUCCUGCCUGCCAAAGCACAGGCUUAGCCCAGACCUCGGCUUGCUCUGAGGUGCGACCCCUCAAACGCAACGUCCCGAGAGAACACAAUACCAGACAAGUAAGAAGACAAAGAAACCCGCUCAGGUUGCAACUCAGACACACCCAGCCAAACAGGCAGGAAAAGAGCAUUCAAGAGGAUGAACACCGGGCACGGAAGGAAGGGCCGCAGGGAACGGCGAAGCGGAAAGCGCUACAAGCAGACGUGGAAACACGCGAGACAAAAAACCUACACCUGAAAAGACGCAAAACUCCACAAUAAGAAUUCCACAAAUCACAGUUAAAAGUCAUUUAGAGACAUCUUCAGAGAGAAUCAGCAGCUGGCAGGCGGGCCAAAGGUAAUGAAGCAAAGAGAGAGGGAAAAGACGUGUGAAAAUUGCAGAGGGGGUGACCGAGGGAAACACGUGAGCGUGAUAAUGACAGAAAAACCAGGGAAGGAGCAAACCUGGGCAGGGGGUGGGAAACCCGGGCCGUUUCCAGGGAGCACAGGCAGACUCAGAGGUAACACUCAAAAGCAACAACAGAAGCAAGGAGGAAGUGGGAAAAUAUUUUUAAUGUGCUACAACGAAACAGCUGCCUGAAUUCUAUAUACCCUCUGAAAAUAAUCUGCACAUAAAAUGGGAAAGCUUCACCGCAGCAGACCCCACUCGAGGAAAUCCAAGGGAGUGUGCUCUAGGGAGAGGGAAUGUGAACCCCGAUGGGGGGGGUCCCAAAAGCAGUAAGUGAUGAGAGACAAAGAAAGUAAAAACGUGGAAAAUUCAAAGUAACGCAAAUUACACAUACCACAAUGAACAGGAAAGUACGUACAUCUAAGACAAAAUAUCCGACAAUAGCAGCACAUAACUCAAGACGGAAGCACGCGGAACCAACACGUUCUAAUAUCCUUGCUAUUGUCCAAUAAGGACAAAAUGCUGAAAACUGGACUUCGCUAAGAAUACGUGGUGUCAUUUCUAAUUUCUAGGGUAAGCGUUAACAGAAAAAAGUAAAAUGUCCCAAACAAAUAUAUGAAAACAAUGGAAUGACAAAAGCAAUUCUACUAAUCCAACAAAAAGCACAGGUGGGGGCGGGGAGGGGGCACUGGGAACGCAGCACAGGGAAAAGUCCUGUGAGUGGCAGGCUGAGAACCAAGGGGAUUAUAAAGGUCAUGAAGGAGGCAGGUAAAAGCUACAGGCUGAAUUUUUACAAAACCAUACACUGUUCUAAGAGAGGCGUACAAAAACAUACAUGUAUGAAGAUACUGAAAGUAAAACGAUGGAAAAAAGUAUACAGUUCAAAGUCAAGUGAAGCAAGACAAAGAAUGAGUGGAGCAAAAAGCAUCCUAGAAAUGGGUGAUAAGGGCAAGAUUCAGCCCACAAACACGCUUCAAAAUCUGAAAAGCCAAAACUGACAAAACUGUAGAGAGAAAUACAAAGCUGUAUUCAUAGCAGGACAUGGCAGGAGGUAUUUUCUCUACCAUCCUAUCUUGGAAAAAAAAUUUUUUUUUUGAAACAGAGUCUGGCUGUGUUGCCCAGGCUGGAGCACAGUGGCUCAAUCUCAGCUCACGGCAACCUUCGCCUCCCAGGCCCAAGCCGUACAGGCACCACCACACCCGGCUAAUGUUUUUGUAUUUUUUGUAGAGAUGGGGUUUCACCAAGUUGGCCAGGCUGGUCUCAAACUCCGGAGCUCAAGUGAUCCACUCGCCUUGGCCUCCCAAAGUGCUGGGAUUACAGGCGUGAG
rnacentral:lncRNA from 10 species